UACGGAGGAGGCAAGCGUUAUCCGGAAUUAUUGGGCGUAAAGCGUCCGCAGGUGGCACUUCAAGUCUGUCGUCAAAGACUGGGGCUUAACCUUGUAAAGGCAGUGGAAACUGCAUUAACUCGAGUGCAGUAGGGGUAGAGGGAAUUCCCGGUGUAGCGGUGAAAUGCGUAGAUAUCUGGAGGAACACCGGUGGCGAAGGCGGCAUCCUGGACCGACACUGACGCUGAGGAGCGAAAGCCAGGGGAGCAAACGGG
rnacentral:rRNA from 1 species